rnacentral:lncRNA from 1 species
UUUUUUUUUUUUUUUUUUUUUUGCAUUCUGUUACUACAAUUUUUUCCUAGCUGCUCAUUUUAUCCUGUUAAAUAUCUACAAGGUAAGUCACUAAAUAAAACAUCAGAACAAAAGGAAGGACAAUAAAGCAGCACAAAAGACUCUAAAAAGGUAGGCAUUUGUAGAAUUGGAGAAGGAGGUAUUUUCUUAGUUUGCUGUAAACUGUACAUUGCAUUUUCCCCCCAUUUUACACAGCGUGCAGAUCUGUGUGAUUCUCUUUUCAAAGAACUGUGAGUUCUUUGCUGUUCUUUCUUUGUCUCAGAAAUAUACAUAAUUUCUUCUGUCUCUAGUCUAAUCUGAAACCCAACAGUGUUACACUGUGUUCUACUGAAGUCUCAUCCCGCACAUAUGUAUUUUCAGCUCUUAUUUCUUCUCAGCAGUGAAACAUCCAGUUAACAGAUUUUCUUCCCCCAGGGCAUUACAGUGGUAUAUAUGAGUUGGCAUACAGAUAAAUAUAUAUGUAGGUAUAUAUGUUUUAAACAUACUUGCUGGCUGUGGGAGAAAACAAUCUGUAUUGAAAUUUCCCUUUGUGAGAUACUUGGUUUCUAAAAUUUAUCUGUUGUUGACAAAAAGAGAACUUUAGAUUUAGAACUUGAGGCUCUAUUUUUUUCCUCUGGGACAAGACUACUUAAAAGAAUAGACUAAAUUCCCUUGGGCUUCUCCAAGCUGCAUUCCUUUCUCACUGUACUUUUCCACUUUUGCAAACAUUUGUCAUCCUGCUUCUUCAAACGUCACUGAUCAUUUGUUUGGCAUAGGACCUUUACUUCCUACUCUACUGAUUAGCAUCCUUAGAGAUGGGCCUUUGUUUUGGAUUGAUACAAAUGCAAGUUCAUUUAUUUAGCUCAUUUUUUUUCCCCCUUCAGUACUGCAUUCUGUAGCAUUGCAGAAAAUUCUUGUCUGCAAGGAACUGUGUCUGUUGUGCUACAGGACUUUUUACUUUUCCUGAAACUUAGCAAAAGCGGGAGCCCAAGAGUUUGGGUUGUCAGCCUGGGACUUUAUUGAGUCUGCUCUGAAAACUCACCAACUCCUUCACACAAACGAUCACACAGUGCUUGUAGGGACAGUCAAGUGUUCCUGUCCUGGUCCUCUGUGCCAUGUGAGUUGUACUGGUGUUUUACCCAGUGUGCAGAAAAUUAUGUCUUCAGAGGUGCAGUAAAGUAUCCCCAAGGUGUUUGAGGCUCUCAGUAUUAUGGCUUCCGCAGUUGAAAGAUGAUUGUUAUUCUCAGGCAGCCUCUACAGACAUGCCUGUGUAGAUGUGGUAAUUCAUAAGUGUAAGGCUUUAUUCAGGAGGGAUGGCAGGGGGUGCAUAAAAUAAACCUUUAACAAGGUUUCUCCUCACUAUCCCUUGAUUUAGAAUAGCAGCAGGUAAUUUCUGUAAUAUGUCCAUGUCCUGGUUUUAGGUGGGAUAAGUUAAUUUUUGUCCUACUAGGUGGUAUGGUGUUGUGUUCUGGAUUUAGUAUGAGACUAAUGUUGAUAACAGACUUAAAUUUUCAGUUGUUACUAAAUUUACAGUAGUGUUUAUAUUAAGUCAGAGAAUUUUCAGCUUCUCCUGCUCUGCCAUCAAGAAGGCUGGCAGGACAGAAGAGGAUGGGAGAGAACACAGCCAGGACACCUGACCCCAACUGGCCAAAGGGAUAUUUGAUGUCAUGCUUAGUAUAUGAACUGGGGAGGAAAGCUGUCUGGGGCCUGCUGCUUGGGAAGUGGCAGAAUCAGUGAGGAGACAGUAACCAAUUUGUGUAUCACUCACUCUUUUAUAUAUUCUAAUUAUUAUUAUCAUUGUUGUUGUUGUUCUUGUACUUAUUAUUAAUCAUCACCACCAUCAUUAUUAAUAUGUUCUCUCUGUCCCCAUUAAACUGUCCUUAUGUAAAUUCAUAGGUCUGAGUCUGCUGAUUCUCUGCCCCUUCCUGAUGAGAGGGGGGACUGAAUGAGCAGCUGUGUGGUGCCUCAUUGCCAGCUGGGGUUAAACCAUGACAAUCCACCACUCCUCUGCAUGCUGUUCCUGUAAGAAAGCAUGUGAAGAACGUCCACUAAGAGCAGACUACUGUUACAUAGCUCAUGCAGGCUCAGCUAAAAAUGUCACCACAAACACUAGAGGAAUUCAUUACAACAGCACAGUAAAGUUGCUGAAGGAGAAAGGAAGGUCUAAACUUCCAUAAUGACAGAAAUAGAGGUGAUUUCUACCAGCCACUGCCACGAGGGACUGUGGAUGAGGUAGAUGAGCUGAGGCCUUUCCCUGCCCUUUUAAUCCGCUGCAUGAGUGCCUGAAAGAAGUGGAAUGUGGAUUCUGGACCCACAACAGCAGAGACUGCGUCAAGAGGGAGGUCUUGCCAAGUAAACUGUGCUGGGAUGUAAGAAGUCAAGGCAAAGUUAAGUGUGCAAGGACUGAGGAGAGCUGUAGACAAGUGUCCAGAAUUCAUCUACAGCAGCAGUGAAGGGACCAGAAGGAAAUGACUUUAGGUAGAGAAAGCCAAGACCUCUCUGAAUUGGGUACCUCUUUCUUGACAUGGCUGAACCAGAUCAGUGCAGGCCAGUGCAGUCUUCCUGGAAGAGUUCACCACAGCUACUGGGUCUCCCUGCAAUGAGGACAGCAUUUGAAACCAACAUGAGGAUCAUGACACAUCAGGUCUUGAUUGAAGCAAAUGCUAACCUUCAAGGCAAAAUUGGAAUCCAUGCGCUGGACCUUUGGAUCUCUGGCGUAUGCCCCUCUGAGAUGGAAAAGACAUUAUGCACUCCAGGUGUACAACUGUUUACUGACAGAAUGGUGAGACUCACAGCCUAGUAUGCUGAGAGGUACAGCUUGUUAUGGGGCUGCCUACUGAGAGACAACUAACCCAAACACUUUACCACUGCUCCUUUCAUCUGCCAGUCCAAGAUUUUGUUCCAACUCCACCUGCAAGCACUGCAUAGCACAAAGACUUCAGUGACACUUGUUCAAGGCUUGGAGGGCACUUCAGUGUGAAACAAUGUGUGCUUGAAACUUAUGGGCUAGGCUUUCUUUCUUCAGUGCCUUUCUUCUCUUUCCAGGACCGUUAAUGAGCAAAGCAGUGAUGGAACUGUAAACGUAAGUGAUAAAUUCAGCACUCAUAAGUUGUUGGAAUCUGUGGGUAUUGAUGAUUCUGAGAUUGUAGAAAGUCUCUGUCUUUCUGCCCCAUUGCCAAAGAAGAAGCCAUAAUUCGUCUGUGCUGGUUUCAAGGUUGUUUAUUCUGUUUAUCUCUAACAUGUUCUGCUGCCCUGCCACAGCUCUGUCCUGCAGGGCAGCGUGUGGGGCUCUGCCCUCAGUGGGAUGGUACAAACAUUAUAUACCAGAAACUACCUGUGCUGGAUUUACAAUAACGUGCCAAUAUCUAUCAUCUAUGUUAAACAGCGUGUCCCCAGCCUAAACCAACAGAAAAAUGCCAACACUACAGUGAAACAGGGAGGGCAUGAAGAAGGAGAAAAAGGACAAGACACACCCAAUUUCCUCCAUCUUGUGCCCUUUGAACCCCUAAUCUAGAAUUCGAAAAUUUUACUUUUGCACCCGUGCCACACUUAAUUAUUACUUAUAUCAAACACUCAGAGCUUGUAAUUUAUCCUGUAAGAUUGAAAACUCUUUUCCAUGGACAGAGAUCACAGCCAGUGUCUCUGGGGGCUCUGUACAGGGGGGUUCCUGACCCCCUGCCAGGGUCCCAGACCUUCCAGGGCAGCCAGAGGGAAGCCCUGGAUUCCCACAAUAAGUAACUUAGAUUUGCAAACAGGAACUGCCACUCUGCCUUCUAAGAAAGCAGAGUGAUUAAUGAAAAAUCUGCAUCUAAGCCUGUGGAGACACAUGCAGCCUUAACACAUGCUAAAACUAAUAUAUCAAGGCAAAAAAUGGUUUUCUCCUCCAAAAAAUUUGUUUUUCUUUAUGUUUUCAGAUGUUUCUAUAGAUCUACUUUUUUUGUAUUGAUUAGUUGAUCCCAUUUGUAAGUGUAGAGCUAUAUUUGUUUUACAGUCUGGGUUUUACUAGUCUCAUAUUUCUGAAGAUGAUGAUGAUGGUGUCCUGUGGUGCAGGGUACUGACAGGAAAUUCAGGGCCCUGUUCCUACCUCAGACAGCAAUCAUAUUCAGUAUUAGUGCUACUGUCAUGGGGAUAGGCCAGAUGUGAGGUGGAGAGGAGAGAAUGAAAUAACAUAUGGACAUUGGCAGGAGACCAUAUGGACAAUGGUCAGUUGUUUAAAAAGAAUGUGAAAGGGGUCCAAAAUGCUAUGUUCUGCACAUUCAUCCCUGCCUCUGAGCAGUGUUCAGCUACUGGGGCUACUGUGACUGUAGGAAUCUUUCCACUCUGCUAUCCUUCAUCUUAGAGCAGUCAAUUAUUGAACUCCUUUAGUUAAAAAUAAACGUGCUGCAGUAAUUCUGAUAACACCAUCUGGUUUAAACAAGGAGGCUAAAAGGUCUUUCUCAAGAUACUCACGAAAAUUUUCUAUGCCAGACAGACUUGUCUGAUCUUUAUAAGUCAUUAUUUCCGUGCAAAUAUUUGUGUUAAAGUUUAACUGUAAUUUCUGGAUCUGAACCUGGCUGUUUGUCAUCUCCUUCCUGGCUGCACAGAGAGACGAGGCAGUGCCAGGCUGUUGUUAUGCAGCUGUGCCAGCCUGCAGGCAGCAGCUCCCUCUCACAUCCUGUACCUGAGCUGGGCUUUGGAGGACAGCAGCUCCUCUCUCAUGCCAAGCAGAGCAGAGAUGAGAUAAGGGUCAUAUGCAUCAGCAGGCUGGCUCUGCUACAGAAUAUUCUGGUUGGCAUGUCCUGUCUAAAGGCAGAAAUGCUGAAUGUUUCUUGUUUGCCACGUAGGCUGAAUCACAUCUUGGUAAG